rnacentral:tRNA from 1 species
GCCCUUGUAGUAUAAACAAACACACCAGUCUUGUAAACUGGAAAUGACACUUCUCCCAAGGACA